rnacentral:rRNA from 1 species
AGCGAACGCUGGCGGCAGGCUUAACACAUGCAAGUCGAACGGGCAUCUUCGGAUGUCAGUGGCAGACGGGUGAGUAACACGUGGGAACAUGCCCUUCGGUUCGGAAUAACUCAGGGAAACUUGAGCUAAAACCGGAUACGCCCGCAAGGGGAAAAUUUAUUGCCGAAGGAUUGGCCCGCGUCUGAUUAGCUAGUUGGUGAGGUAAAUGGCUCACCAAGGCGACGAUCAGUAGCUGGUCUGAGAGGAUGAUCAGCCACACUGGGACUGAGACACGGCCCAGACACCUACGGGUGGCAG